CGCCAAUCCAAACUGUAUGCUAAUUGUCAAUCAUCUUUGACGAUAGUGGUCCUGACAGAAGUACAUGUAUAGAGCAUAUGAGUAUGUGUUUUACUCUUGAACAUUUUUUCUUUUUGUUUACCUUGGAUUGAACAGCAUGAGGGAAAUGCAGUGAGCAGCAGCAGUAACACACCGGACCAGGCUGGAAUGAUAGGCUGGAUUGUGCAGGGACUGGGAAAAGUGGUUCCACAGGCAGAUGAGAAAUACAAGGGUCACACAGA